UGAAUCAAUAGGUUUUUCUUGAGAAUGC
rnacentral:sRNA from 1 species